rnacentral:SRP_RNA from 1 species
GCCGGGUGUGGUGGCCUGCGCCUGUAAUCCCAGCUACUUGGGAGGCUGAGGCAGGAGAAUGGUGUGAACCUGGGAGGCAGAGCUUGCAGUGAGCCGAGAUAGCGCCACUGCACUCCAGCCUGGCAACAGAGACUCCCUCUCAAAAAAAAAAAAAAAGACCAAGUCUCGCUCUGCUACCCAGGCUGGAGUGCAGUGGUGCCGUCUCGGAUCACUGCAACCUCCGCCUCCCACGUUCAAGCAAUUCUCAUGCCUCAG